AGCGUGCGGGCGAUACGGGCAGACUUGAGUACUGCAGGGGAGACUGGAAUUCCUGGUGUAGCGGUGGAAUGCGCAGAUAUCAGGAGGAACACCGGUGGCGAAGGCGGGUCUCUGGGCAGUAACUGACGCUGAGGAGCGAAAGCGUGGGGAGCGAACAGGAUUAGAUACCCUGGUAGUCCACGCCGUAAACGGUGGGUACUAGGUGUGGGUUUCCUUCCUUGGGAUCCGUGCCGUAGCUAACGCAUUAAGUACCCCGCCUGGGGAGUACGGCCGCAAGGCUAAAACUCAAAGAAAUUGACGGGGGCCCGCACAAGCGGCGGAGCAUGUGGAUUAAUUCGAUGCAACGCGAAGAACCUUACCUGGGUUUGACAUGCACAGGACGCCGGCAGAGAUGUCGGUUCCCUUGUGGCCUGUGUGCAGGUGGUGCAUGGCUGUCGUCAGCUCGUGUCGUGAGAUGUUGGGUUAAGUCCCGCAACGAGCGCAACCCUUGUCUCAUGUUGCCAGCGGGUAAUGCCGGGGACUCGUGAGAGACUGCCGGGGUCAACUCGGAGGAAGGUGGGGAUGACGUCAAGUCAUCAUGCCCCUUAUGUCCAGGGCUUCACACAUGCUACAAUGGCCGGUACAAAGGGCUGCGAUGCC
rnacentral:rRNA from 1 species